rnacentral:rRNA from 1 species
GACGAACGCUGGCGGCGUGCCUAAUACAUGCAAGUAGAACGCAGUUGCGAACGGGUGAGUAACGCGUAGGUAACCUGCCUCAUAGCGGGGGAUAACUAUUGGAAACGAUAGCUAAUACCGCAUACUGUGAGAUGGACCUGCGUUGUAUUAGCUAGUUGGUGAGGUAAAGGCUCAACAAGGCGACGCUACCAAGCCGACCUGAGAGGGUGAUCGGCCAAACGUGGACUUGGACCCGGCCCAGACUCCUACGGGAGGCGGCGGUGGGGAAAAUUGCACAAUGGGCGCAAGCCUGAUGCAGCCAGGCCGGGUGUAUGAGGAGGGCCUUCGGGUUGUAAAGUACUUUCAGCGGGGAGGCGUUACCCGCAGAAGAAGCACCGGCUAACUCCGUGCCAGCAGCCGCGGUAAUAC